GAUGAACGCUGGCGGCGUGCCUAAUACAUGCAAGUCGAACGAACGGACGAGAAGCGCGUUGUUGUGUUGUUAGCGACGGACGGGUGAGUAACACGUGGAUAACCUCCUUCUUUGACUGGGAUAACUUCGGAAAACCGGCGAUAAUACCGGAUAAUAUUUUGAACCGCUUGGUUCAAAAGUGAAAGACGGUCUUGUUGUCAGUUAUAGAUGGACCCGCGCUGCAUUAGCUAGUUGGUAAGGUACCGGCUUACCAAGGCAACGAUGCGUAGCCGACCUGAGAGGGUGAUCGGCCACACUGGAACUGAGACACGGUCCAGACUCCUACGGGAGGCAGCAGUAGGGAAUGUUCCGCAAAGGGCGAAAGCCUGACGGAGCAACGCCGCGUGAGUGAUGAAGGUCUUCGGAUCGUAAAACUCUGUUAUUAGGGAAGAAAAUAAGUGUAAGUAACUGUGCACAUCUUGACGGUACCUAAACAAGAAGCCACGGCUAACUACGUG
rnacentral:rRNA from 1 species